rnacentral:rRNA from 1 species
GAUGAACGCUGGCGGCGUGCCUAAUACAUGCAAGUCGAGCGAACGGACGAGAAGCUUGCUUCUCUGAUGUUAGCGGCGGACGGGUGAGUAACACGUGGACAACCUACCUAUAAGACUGGGAUAACUUCGGGAAACCGGAGCUAAUACCGGAUAAUAUUUUGAACCGCAUGGUUCAAAAGUGAAAGACGGUCUUGCUGUCACUUAUAGAUGGAUCCGCGCUGCAUUAGCUAGUUGGUAAGGUAACGGCUUACCAAGGCAACGAUGCAUAGCCGACCUGAGAGGGUGAUCGGCCACACUGGAACUGAGACACGGUCCAGACUCCUACGGGAGGCAGCAGUAGGGAAUCUUCCGCAAUGGGCGAAAGCCUGACGGAGCAACGCCGCGUGAGUGAUAAAGGUCUUCGGAUCGUAAAACUCUGUUAUUAGGGAAGAACAUAUGUGUAAGUAACUGUGCACAUCUUGACGGUACCUAAUCAGAAAGCCACGGCUAACUACGUG